UAGUCCACGCCGUAAACGAUGAUCACUAGAUGUGGGUUUCGCUUAGCGAGAUCCGUGUCGAAGCUAACGCGUUAAGUGAUCCGCCUGGGGAGUACGGUCGCAAGAUUAAAACUCAAAGGAAUUGACGGGGGUCCGCACAAGCGGUGGAACAUGUGGUUUAAUUCGACAAUACGCGAGGAACCUUACCUAGACUUGACAUGUGCCUGAUCACCUCCCAAAAGAGGUUUUCUAAGUUUACUUAGACAGGUUCACAGGUGCUGCAUGGCUGUCGUCAGCUCGUGUCGUGAGAUGUUGGGUUAAGUCCUUUAACGAGCGCAACCCUUGCCGUUAGUUGCUACUCUUCGGAGGCACUCUAGCGGGACUGCCUGGGGAACCAGGAGGAAGGUGGGGAUGACGUCAAGUCCUCAUGGCCCUUAUGUCUAGGGCUACACACGUGUUACAAUGGCGAGUACAAAGGGAAGCAAGCCUGCGAAGGCAAGCGAACCUCAGAAAGCUCGUCUAAGUUCGGAUUGGAGU
rnacentral:rRNA from 1 species